rnacentral:rRNA from 1 species
GAUGAACGCUGGCGGCGUGCCUAAUACAUGCAAGUCGAGCGAACAGACGAGGAGCUUGCUCCUUUGACGUUAGCGGCGGACGUGUGAGUAACACGUAUGUAACCUCCCUAUAAGACUGGGAUAACUUCGGGAAACCGGAGCUAAUACCGUAUAAUAUUUCGAACCGCAUGGUUCGAUAGUGAAAGAUGGCUGUGCUAUCACUUAUAGAUGGACCUGCGCCGUAUUAGAUAGUUGGUAAGGUAACGGCUUACCAAGGCAACGAUACGUAGCCGACCUGAGAGGGUGAUCGGCCACACUGGAAGUGAGCCACGGUCCAGACUCCUACGGGAGGCAGCAGUAGGGAAUCUUCCGCAAUGGGCGAAAGCCUGACGGAGCAACGCCGCGUGAGUGAUGAAGGUCUUCGGAUCGUAAAAAUCUGUUAUUAGGGAAGAACAAACGUGUAAGUAACUGUGCACGUCUUGACGGUACCUAAUCAGAAAGCCACGGCUAACUACGUG